rnacentral:rRNA from 1 species
GACAGAGGGUGCAAACGUUGUUCGGAAUUACUGGGCGUAAAGCGUGUGUAGGCGGUUUGCUAAGUCGGGUGUGAAAGCCCCGGGCUCAACCCGGGAAGUGCACUCGAAACUGGCAGGCUGGAGUACUGGAGAGGUUGGUGGAAUUCUCGGUGUAGAGGUGAAAUUCGUAGAUAUCGAGAGGAACACCGGUGGCGAAGGCGGCCAACUGGACAGAUACUGACGCUGAGACACGAAAGCGUGGGGAGCGAUCCGG